AACGCAUAUUGCGCUCGAGGCUUCGGCCAAGAGCAUGUCUGCCUCAGCGUCGGGUUAAUACUCGCCCUACUCCAACAUGUUUGGAGCAAGAGCGGACCUGGCUGUCUCGGUGUUUGAUUUUCGGAUCAGACGCCGGGUCAGCUGAAGUACAGAGGGUGAUGCAUGGGCCCGCUUAUGGGCCUCGACUGGGUAGGCAACUCGUUGCCAAUGCUUUGGUAGGUGGCUUGGAGCUGUGCUUGUCGACCCAAGCCAGGAACUUUGGCCCUGUGCCGAAGCAAACCCCUAUUUUCACGACCGGAGCGCAGACAAGAUUACCCGCUGAACUUAA
rnacentral:misc_RNA from 1 species